GAUGAACGCUGGCGGCGUGCUUAACACAUGCAAGUCGAGCGGAGCGGCGAACGGGUGAGUAACGCGUGAGUAACUGCCCCCCUCCCUGGGAUAACAGUUGGAAACGGCUGCUAAUACCUGAUAGUGGGGGAUGACUCGCGUCCUAUCAGCUUGUUGGUGGGGUAGUGGCCUACCAAGGCGACGCCGGGUAGCCGGCCUGAGAGGGCGACCGGCCACAUUGGGAUGAGUUACGGCCCAAACUCCUGCGGGGGGCAGCGGUGGGGAAUAUUGCGCAAGGGGGGAAACCAUGAUGCAGAGACGCCGCGUGCGGGAGGGCGGGCUUCGGGUUGUAAACCGCUUUCAGCCAUGACGCGGUAGUGGCAGAAGAAGCACCGGCUAACUACGUGCCAGCAGCCGCGGUAAUAC
rnacentral:rRNA from 1 species